AAACUGAGUCAUCGUCCAUCCCUUCGGACCGAUGGCUGCUAUGAAGUUCCUGAUAUUGAUAUUGAGGAUCUUCCUAGGGUCGGAACACAAGUCAAAGGUUUGUCUAUCUCUUUGUUUACAUAGAUUUUCCAUGAAUCCUGAGGCACACACUAUGCCACCACUGAAUUCUGAAAUCUAUUCUAAUGCCACCUUUCUUUUUAGUUAUUUACAGGAUGUCCAUAUUUUGCUGCACAAACCAUGCAUGGCAAAAGCAGCACAAUUGAUUUUCUGCCCAUAUAGCAACCUAAUUAGUCCAAUUGUCAGGAGAGCAAUGGACAUUGAUAUCAUUGGCUCAAUUGUUAUUCUUGAUGAAGCGCAGUAAGCCCCUGAGUCUGCAGACUCAUGAUUCUUUUUCAGUGUCAUUCAAUGGUUUCCUUAGUUGCAAGACAACGGCUCCCUAUGUUACCGAUCCGGUGUUGCUGUGCGUGAGGACGGACAUGGGGAAGGUGCAACAAGGCAGCGCUCAAGUUGCAGUGGAGUGGAGUCGACCAUCACUACUGACCGCUGCUCGGCGAUCCUCGCCCCUCACCCCCCAUCUAGAUGUGGUUAGGAACUAAAUCGACAAGCAUCGAUAUUUUUGUUAGGAAGGAGCGCUAGGAGCCUAGGAGUGGAACACGAUUUCCUCGAAUCUAGCCGAGGCCUCUGCUUUUUUCGUCAUCUUCCAUCGGUCCAAGCUGCUAUUGUUCGCUCCGUCGGCUUGCAGUUGCUUCUGGAGCGUGCUUCAGAUUCAUUGUGCCUCCUUCCAAUGAUCAUAUGCCAGAUUUCAGAACAAAACUAGCUAUCAUUUAGUGGACUCGAGAUUGAAUGGCGAUGAUAUAAAAAACUGAGACUUGAAGAUGACAGAAACAACACAAAUUCCAACGGAUUGUAUGAUUCUGGAUAGACCUCUAAGAACAUGGAGACAACAUAGAUCUCACUGUUUAUUUAUUUAUCUAAGGACGUUAAAUUUGUUACCAUAUGUGUUUACCCACAACCAAAUCAAGUAAAUUAUGG
rnacentral:rRNA from 1 species